UAUGAAAUAGUUUGGGGUCACAAGACACUUGCCUGGGAAGUAAGACACUGAAGUUCAAUUCCUUUUUCAUCC
rnacentral:tRNA from 1 species